CACGUACAGAGCCAUAACCUUUGAAUAAUAAUUUUUGCCUUUAUUAUAACUGGAGCUAACCAUCCGAAAGGGUCGAAUAGACGCGCCACUUCGGAAAGAAUAGUACGUUUUGUUAUAGGUUCUAUAAGGUCAGUUGCUCGACCACUUCUGCAAUUCAAACCCAGCGCAUUUCACCAAAGGAAAUCUUUGCUCUUCAUCUUCAGCGACUUGGAAAAGAGUGCGAACAGCCAAGAACGGAGCUGAUGCUGUGCCAAAGAAGCGUCGAAAACAACUCGUAGCUUUGUUGUAUCUUUAUCGUCUCUCAAGAUCGCAUGAUGGGAUCUCUUCACACAUCUGCUCUUCCUUAGUCAUUUUACGUUCAUUGGUAAGUACUUCAUUUUCAAUUUCCCAAAACCUUUUUAGUUGUUCAUUAUCACUUACAGAGAUGUGUAAACUAAUUGUUUGUUUUUCCUUUACAGGUUUUGUAUCGUUAGUAUCACCAGAUAGAAUCCAUCCCAGGUAUGUUGAUUGUGCUACUAUAGACCCAGACGGACUCUUCAGCAAACCGACAUCUAUGAUUUUACUAUAGACUUCAGCGCCUAGCAGCAGUUGUAUUUUAUUCGGUAUAUGAAACUCAGGAUCUGCUAGUGUUUUGUUAUCUAGUGCAGGCCAAUUAAACAUCGUGAUUUGCUGUGUUGGCAAAUAGUUUGUAAUAUUACGUAGA